CUAGGGGAAGAACUAGCAAGGGCUCAGUGUCAUCCAAACCUUCUUUCAUGGAUAAUUUUUAUAUGUACAAAGUAAGAUGUUGAACCCCUUUGACUAAUAUUUAGAAUAUUCUAAAUGAAAAUCCAAGCUUCGGCAUGCUAAAGGUUGUUGUAGCUUGUAUGUAAAGGGGUUCAUGUUGUCCCUUGAACUAUUUGAAUGGGACAAAUAUAUUCUAAUAAAAUUCUUGAUGCUGUAAAAAUAUGGUUCUGAAUUUCUGCAAUUCACCGUCCAAGUUGGAGAAUCUAGACAAUCUUUUUCCGACUAAAGAAAGAUAUUCUUAAAAGCAAUCUCUAUUGGUCAAAAAUUGAAAUGAAGGAAAUAAAAAGACAAGCACGGUCCACAACUUUUUUUGCAGUUUUAAUGCGAGGAAGACUAAAAUAUAUUAUAGCUUGGAAGUUUCUCAAGAGAAGCGAUACCAUUAACUAUUACGAAAGGGAAUAUAAUAUAUUUUCUAAUCUUUCUUAGAUCUCGUUGAAAAUGUUGUUUAUAGAUAAUCUAUUAAACAUAUAAAGGAGAUUAGACUUUUAC
rnacentral:misc_RNA from 1 species